UCCGGUUGAUCCUGCCGGACCCGACUGCUAUCAGAAUAGGACUAAGCCAUGCGAGUCAACGUAGCAAUACGUGGCAUACGGCUCAGUAACACGUAGUCAACAUGCCCAGGGGACGUGGAUAACCUCGGGAAACUGAGGAUAAACCGCGAUAGGUCAUAGUAUCUGGAAUGAUUUAUGGCUUAAAUCUAUAUGGCCUCUGGAUUGGACUGCGGCCGAUCAGGCUGUUGGUGAGGUAAUGGCCCACCAAACCUAAAACCGGUACGGGCUCUGAGAGGAGAAGCCCGGAGAUGGGCACUGAGACAAGGGCCCAGGCCCUAUGGGGCGCAGCAGGCGCGAAAACUCUGCAAUAAGCGAAAGCUUGACAGGGUUAUUCUGAGUGAUUUCCGCUAAGGAAAUCUUUUGGCACCUCUAAAAAUGGUGCAGAAUAAGGGGUGGGCAAGCCUGGUGUCAGCCGCAGCGGUAAUACCAGCACCCCGAGUGGUCGGGACGAUUAUUGGGCCUAAAGCAUCCGUAGCCUGUUCUACAAGUCUUCCGUUAAAUCCACCUGCUCAACAGAUGGGCUGUGGAGGAUACUAUAGAGCUAGGAGGCGGGAGAGGCAAGCGGUACUUAGUGGGUAGGGGUAAAAUCCGUUGAUCCAUUGAAGACCACCAGUGGCUAAGGCGGCUUGCCAGAACGCACUCGACGGUGAGGGAUGAAAGCUGGGGGAGCAAACCGGAUUAGAUACCCGGGUAGUCCCAGCUGUAACGAUGCAGACUCGGUGAUGAAUAGGCUUCGUGCCUAUUCAGUGCCGCAGGGAAGCCGUUAAGUCUGCCGCCUGGGGAGUACGGUCGCAGGACUGAAACUUAAAGGAAUUGGCGGGGGAGCACCACAAGGGGUGAAGCCUGCGGUUCAAUUGGAGUCAACGCCGGAAAUCUUACCGGGGGCGACAGCAGAAUGAAGGUCAACCUGAAGACUUUACCAGACAAGCUGAGAGGAGGUGCAUGGCCGUCGCCAGCUCGUGCCGUGAGGUGUCCUGUUAAGUCAGGUAACGAGCGAGAUCCCUGCCUCUAGUUGCUACCAUUGCUCUCAGGAGUAGUGGGGCUAAUUAGAGGGACUGCCGUCGCUGAGACGGAGGAAGGAGGGGGCUACGGCAGGUCAGUAUGCCCCGAAACCCUCGGGCCACACGCGGGCUGCAAUGGUAAGGACAAUAAGUUCCUAUUCCGAAAGGAGGAGGUAAUCUCCAAACCUUACCUCAGUUAUGAUUGAGGGCUGAAACUCGCCCUCAUGAAUAUGGAAUCCCUAGUAACCGCGUGUCAUUAUCGCGCGGUGAAUACGUCCCUGCUCCUUGCACACACCGCCCGUCGCUUCAUCGAAGUUGGUUCUUGGCGAGGUUGUGUCUCAUUGGCACUAUCGAACCUGGGGUCAGCAACGAGGGAG
rnacentral:rRNA from 1 species